rnacentral:rRNA from 1 species
GAUGAACGCUGACAGAAUGCUUAACACAUGCAAGUCAACUUGAACUUCGGUUUGGGUGGCGGACGGGUGAGUAACGCGUAAAGAACUUGCCUCACAGAUAGGGACAACAUUUGGAAACGAAUGCUAAUACCUGAUAUUAUGAUUAUAUGGCAUCGUAUAAUUAUGAAAGCUAUAUGCGCUGUGAGAGAGCUUUGCGUCCCAUUAGCUAGUUGGAGAGGUAACGGCUCACCAAGGCGAUGAUGGGUAGCCGGCCUGAGAGGGUGAUCGGCCACAAGGGGACUGAGACACGGCCCGUACUCCUACGGGAGGCAGCAGUGGGGAAUAUUGGAAAAUGGACCAAGAGUCUGAUCCAGCAAUUCUGUGUGCACGAUGAAGUUUUUCGGAAUGUAAAGUGCUUUCAAUUGGGAAGAAAAAAAUGACGGUACCAACAGAAGAAGUGACGGCUAAAUACGUG